rnacentral:RNase_P_RNA from 1 species
AUUUUCAGAUAAUCGCGGUUUGACUUGAUCAAGCUGAGGAAAGUCCAUGCUCACACAGGCUGCGAUGCCUGUAGUGUUCGUGCCUAGCGAAACCAUAAGCUAGGGUAUUUUUUAGGAAAUAACGGCAGGAAAAAAAGCUAAGGUGAAAACUAUGCUUGAGUACCCUUGAAAGUGCCACAGUGACGAAGCGCUUAAAGAAAUUUAAGCGGUGGAACGCGGUAAACCCCUCGAGUGAGCAACCCAAACAAUGGUAGGGGCGCUUUUUGUAACGGAAAUGAACGGGACAAAGAGGCAAUGUAAAUUGCAGAUAGAUGAUUAUCCAGAUUGUUUUUCCCUGAAAAAACAAUCGGACAGAACAUGGCUUAUAGAA